CCCUUAGAUGUUCUGGGCCGCACGCGCGCUACACUGAUGCAUUCAACGAGUCUAAAACCUGGUCUGAGAGGGCUGGGUAAUCUUUUGAAAGUGCAUCGUGAUUGGGAUAGAUGAUUGCAAUUCUUCAUCUUCAACGAGGAAUGCCUAGUAAACGCAAGUCAUCAGCUUGCAUUGAUUACGUCCCUGCCCUUUGUACACACCGCCCGUCGCUCCUACCGAUUGAAUGAUCCGAUGAAUACCAUGGAUUGAGAGUACGAAUGGGUUCGCUCAUUUCUGCUGCUCGAGAAGUGGAGUAAAUCUUAUCAUUUAGAGGAAGGAGAAGUCGUAACA
rnacentral:rRNA from 1 species